rnacentral:rRNA from 1 species
UACGAGGGGGGGCGAGCGUUGUUCGGAAUUAUUGGGCGUAAAGGGCGCGUAGGCGGUGCGGUAAGUCACCUGUGAAACCUCUGGGCUCAACUCAGAGCCUGCAGGCGAAAACUGCCGUGCUGGAGUGUGGGAGAGGUGCGUGGAAUUCCCCGGUGUAGCGGUGAAAUGCGUAGAUAUCGGGAGGAACACCUGUGGCGAAAGCGGCGCACUGGACCACAACUGACGCUGAGGCGCGAAAGCUAGGGGAGCAAACAGG